rnacentral:rRNA from 1 species
AUUGAACGCUGGCGGCAGGCCUAACACAUGCAAGUCGAGCGGAUGACGGGAGCUUGCUCCUUGAUUCAGCGGCGGACGGGUGAGUAAUGCCUAGGAAUCUGCCUGGUAGUGGGGGACAACGUUUCGAAAGGAACGCUAAUACCGCAUACGUCCUACGGGAGAAAGCAGGGGACCUUCGGGCCUUGCGCUAUCAGAUGAGCCUAGGUCGGAUUAGCUAGUUGGUGAGGUAAUGGCUCACCAAGGCGACGAUCCGUAACUGGUCUGAGAGGAUGAUCAGUCACACUGGAACUGAGACACGGUCCAGACUCCUACGGGAGGCAGCAGUGGGGAAUAUUGGACAAUGGGCGAAAGCCUGAUUCAGCCAUGCCGCGUGUGUGAAGAAGGUCUUCGGAUUGUAAAGCACUUUAAGUUGGGAGGAAGGGCAGUAAGUUAAUACCUUGCUGUUUUGACGUUACCGACAGAAUAAGCACCGGCUAACUCUGUGCCAGCCGCCGCCGUAACGC